rnacentral:rRNA from 1 species
UGACCUCGGAUCAGGUAGGGAUACCAGCUGAACUUAA